AGUUGAUUGAUGAAUGCUUCAUGAUCCUGCUUCUUAGUGUGGAUAAACUUCCCUCUGACUCCAGCAAAGAGGUCAAAAUCCUCCACAAAUAUGAUUACAGGAGCCAGAUCACGUGCCGUUUGAAACAGCUCUCUAACAUUUGAUGCACUUUGGCCAACCCACAAACCAGCCUCUAACUGCUGGGCUUUAACUUCAACAAGUGGCACCUUAGCUUCUGCUGCAAUUGCCAUAGCUAGGGUUGUCUUUCCAGUUCCUCUCUCCCCCACAAUAAGAACUCCCCGAGGGGCACGAGCUCCCAUUUCUUGAAAAGCGCGAGGGUUUUGCAGAAAUGCCACGACCUCAUUAAUCUCUUCCCUCAUAGACUCAAUGCUUGCAAAGUCCUUCAAACUUAUAGGUGGAUUCUUCACCCUCUUCAUCUGAUCAAAAGCAGUACUGAUUGGAUCAACACCCGCCUUCUUCUUUUGCU
rnacentral:misc_RNA from 1 species